rnacentral:rRNA from 1 species
CCUACGGGAGGCAGCAGUGAGGAAUAUUGGUCAAUGGGCGGAAGCCUGAACCAGCCAAGUAGCGUGCAGGAUGACGGCCCUACGGGUUGUAAACUGCUUUUAUACGGGAAUAACGCGCCUUACGUGUAGGGCUUUUCAUGUACCGUAUGAAUAAGGACCGGCUAAUUCCGUGCCAGCAGCCGCGGUAAUACGGAAGGUCCGGGCGUUAUCCGGAUUUAUUGGGUUUAACGGGAGCUUAGGCCGCAUGUCAAGCGUGCUGUGAAAUGGCCGGGCUCAACCCGGGCCUUUAAGCGCGAACUGGCGUGCUUGAGUCCGCGGAAGGCAAGCGGAAUUCGUCGUGUAGCGGUGAAAUGCUUAGAUAUGACGAAGAACCCCGAGUGCGAAGGCAGCUUGCUGCAGCGGAACUGACGCUGAUGCUCGAAAGCGCGGGUAUCGAACAGGAUUAGAUACCCGUGUAGUC